rnacentral:tRNA from 1 species
GCGGGUAUGGCGGAACGGCAGACGCGCACGGUUCAGGUCCGUGUAAGGAAACUUGUGGAGGUUCAAAUCCUCUUACCCGCA